AAGUCGUAACAAGGUUUCCGUAGGUGAACCUGCGGAAGGAUCAUUAUCGAAUAAACUUGAACAGGCUGUUGCUGGUCCCAGGACAAUGUGCACGCUUGUCAUCUUUAUCAUUUCUCCCAACUGUGCACAUAUUGUAGACCCUGGAUUUUGUUCCGAGUGGGGACUGCUGUGCUUCAAAAGAAGUCGGCUUUCCCCUUGAAGGUCUAUGUUUGUUUUUCACAACCUCUCGAAUGUGUUUAGAAUGUUGAAAUAAAGAAAAGUUAAUAAAAUACAACUUUCAGCAACGGAUCUCUUGGCUCUCGCAUCGAUGAAGAACGCAGCGAAAUGCGAUAAGUAAUGUGAAUUGCAGAAUUCAGUGAAUCAUCGAAUCUUUGAACGCAUCUUGCGCUCCUUGGUAUUCCGAGGAGCAUGCCUGUUUGAGUGUCAUUUAAACUCUCAAACCACAUCAUUCGUUUGACGUGGCUUUGGAUGUGGGGGUUGCCGGCUUUCUUCUCAGAGAGCCCUGCUCCCCUGAAAUGCAUUAGUGGUAUCUGGAGUGGAAAACCGCUAGGUGUGAUAAUACUGUCUAUGCCUUUGGUUAUGCCACAAUGUGCUGCUUCUAAACCGCACAUUUUUGUGCUUUUGACAAACUUGACCUCAAAUCAGGUAGGACUACCCGCUGACUUAAGCAUAUCAAUAAGCGGAGGAAAAGNAACUNACAAGGAUUCCCCUAGUACUGCGAGUGAGCGGGAAGAGCUCAAAUUUGAAAUCUGGCGGUCGUUGGCCGUNCGAGUUGUAAUCUAGAGAAGUGCUACCUGUGCUGGACCGUGUACAAGUCUCCUGGAAUGGAGCAUCGCAGAGGGUGAGAAUCCCGUCUUUGACACGGACUGCCUGUACGUCAUGGUGCGCUCUCGAAGAGUCGAGUUGUUUGGGAAUGCAGCUCAAAAUGGGUGGUAAAUGCCAUCUAAAGCUAAAUAUUGGCGAGAGACCGAUAGCGAACAAGUACCGUGAGGGAAAGAUGAAAAGAACUUUGGAAAGAGAGUUAAACAGUACGUGAAAUUGCUGAAAGGGAAACGCUUGAAGUCAGUCGCGUCGGCCAGAAAUCAGCCUUUGCUUUUGCUUGGUGUACUUUCUUGGUUGAUGGGUCAGCAUCAAUUUCGACCGUCGGAUAAAGUCGUCGGGAAUGUGGCAUCUUCGGAUGUGUUAUAGCCCGGCGUCGCAUACGGUGGUCGGGAUUGAGGAACUCAGCACGCCGAAAGGCCGGGUCUCUCGAGACCACGUCCGUGCUUAGGAUGCUGGCAUAAUGGCUUUAAUCGACCCGUCUUGAAACACGGACC
rnacentral:rRNA from 1 species